GGGGGCAGAGCUCAGCGGCAGAGUGCGUGCUUAGCACGCGCGAGGUCCUGGGUUCCAUUCCCAGCGCCUCCA
rnacentral:tRNA from 1 species